AAACAUCUCAAAAGGAUCUGAGGAAAUUAAGUAUGAACUUGUGUGCAGAAAGGAUUAAUUUAUAAAUAAUAACUAAUGGAUACAGUUAUCUUCUUUAUCUGUAUUUCUUUCAUACAAUGGUUCACGGCUUGAACUAGGAAGAGCUGCAAAGUCAUUGGACAAAGUCAGGUGAGCGCCGAUUUUCAAAUUCACUCUCAGCACUGUAAUUGGCUAAUAGCCUUGUCGCUGAGAAAUGGUGAGUUCUGAUUGGUUGAUUCGAUCAGAAGGCGGGUCAUCAACAGUUGCUCUGAUUCCGACCGACAGGCAGCAGCAGCUCAACAUACUCGUAAUGUUUGUGGAAAAUAGUAUCCGCAGCUAUAUCGAAGAUGAGGGAAUAAAGAGACCACAUGCAUCAUCUGUAUACACCCAGCACCCAGGAAUGUCUGAUUUCUCUGUUCUGCACCAGCCUUAUGCAUGCCCCUCUGAACUCAAAAAGAUCCUGGCUUCUGCAUCCAGCCCCAUUUGGUCCACAACUCUACCCCAGGCCUGCUCUCUCCCUCAGCCAAGUGGAGUCCCUACAAAACGUAAAUAGUAUUUAGUUUACAGAUUUGUUACAUGCAUUAUUUGUUGUAUUUUGGUAGAAAGUAUUUUGCUAAAAUAUGUGUGUGCAAACAAAAAUAUAUGACCUGAGCUUUUUAUGCCUUUUUUCUGGUGUGUUGCAUGUGGUGCACAACUGGAGACAGGACAAAGAUUUCACCUGAUACCACGUGACGACGAGCUCAAGCACACGCAUUUUUAAAAGUGAGUUUUU
rnacentral:lncRNA from 1 species